rnacentral:rRNA from 1 species
CCUACGGGAGGCAGCAGUGAGGAAUAUUGGUCAAUGGGCGCGAGCCUGAACCAGCCAAGUCGCGUGAGGGAAGACGGUCCUAUGGAUUGUAAACCUCUUUUGUCGGGGAGCAAAAGACGCCACGCGUGGCGUUCCGAGAGUACCCGACGAAAAAGCAUCGGCUAACUCCGUGCCAGCAGCAGCGGUAAUACGGGGGAUGCGAGCGGUAUCCGGAUUUAUUGGGUUUAACGGGUGCGCAGGCGGAAGAUCAAGUCAGCGGUAAAAUUGAGAGGCUCAGCCUCUUCGAGCCGUUGAAACUGGUUGUCUUGAGUGAGCGAGAGGUAUGCGGAAUGCGUGGUGUAGCGGUGAAAUGCAUAGAGAUCACGCAGAACUCCGAUUGCGAAGGCAGCAUACCGGCGCUCAACUGACGCUCAGGCACGAAAGUGUGGGUAUCGAACAGGAUUAGAUACCCGGGUAGUC